AUGGGAUCCCCUUGGUGCAAGCCUCUUCGUGGAAUGAGAAUGACCUCAUCCCCCGCCGCCCCCGCCUCCAUUGUCGGCUCCGUCUCCACUGAGCCGCCGGAGCCUCGGGCGUCCCCCAAAGUUGGGCUCCCCCAGCUCGAUCCAGAUCAGGCGGAUCUGGAUUCCGUCUCCCUGUCGCCUUCGGCUGACCGGAGCCCUGCUCCUGCAGAUGUGACGGAGGUUCUGCUUGGGGCCAAGAGUGGCUGCACAGCCGUUGUUGGUGAGAAGGAGGUGGAGUUGGCUCUGCUGUUGCAUCCGGCGGCCACACAUGGCGUCGUCCCCUGUGUGCAGAUCCCGCCUUGCCCCGAUGUUGGGGAUGGGGCCGAAGUUGCUGCCUUGGUUACGCAAUCGUCGCCGGGUGAAGAUGCUGAGUUCGUGCCGUGCACGCCGCUGACCGUCGCCGAAGGCCGCACUUCCGGCACUGCAAUGAUGGGGGAGCUGGCGCCGCUGGCGACGAAUGCUGCUGUGGAUUGUGUGUCAUCAGCUUCUUGCUUUUCCGUGCCGUCUUCUUGUGAUACAGCGCGGGCCGUGGAUGCUCAGCCUGGGGAAGUGCAUGCUGAAGUUCUCGAGUCUAUGAGGUUUUCUGAAGCUUCUAGUGGAGGUAGUUCUGAUCAUGAGGUUGUGGCAAAAUCUUCUAAAUCCUUGCUUGCCUCGAGUGGUUCUGAUCCUCAGGUCAUGAUGGAGCUAGCGCUCCGUCCAUUGCAUAAGCUUGAGGACUCUUUGUGCUUGUGGUUGGCACGUGCAACCAGCUUACUGGAGCGGGCGGAGGCAUCAGUUGGUCUGCAGGGGUCGUUGCCGACGACGCAGGCGGCGCUGGUGGCAAACCACAGGGACCAAGGUACUAAGGACAUUGGCAACACCAUGCAUCCGCUGACCUUGGGUUUAGUUGCUCCGGUGGUGACCACUGAGAUCAGCCUAGCUAGUUCUAUCUCCGAUGAAGUACAGGCUGUUGCAAAAGGCUGCGCUUUCGUGAUUGAUGAAGGUGACACUUUGCAUGACUUAACCGAGCUGAUCAAAUGCCUCAUUGCCAUGCCUGCGAUCACCCAGGGAUUGAUUCGCCUUGUCAAAGCGGAGCAGACCAAACAUGCCAACCAGGUGGUAUGUGCCGCCGUGAGGGUCAACUCUGCAACAUGUUAG
rnacentral:rRNA from 1 species